GACCACUGGGCUUAAUGGUUAGAGAGUCGGACCUGUAACCCGAAGGUCACGGGUUCGAGUCGCAGGCCGGCA